AUUAGUGGCGAACGGGUGAGUAACACGUGGGCAAUCUGCCCUGCACUCUGGGAUAAGCCUGGGAAACUGGGUCUAAUACCGGAUAUGACUUCUUGCCGCAUGGCGAGAAGUGGAAAAGUUUUUCGGUGCAGGAUGAGCCCGCGGCCUAUCAGCUAGUUGGUGGGGUAAUGGCCCACCAAGGCGACGACGGGUAGCCGGCCUGAGAGGGUGAUCGGCCACACUGGGACUGAGACACGGCCCAG
rnacentral:rRNA from 1 species